rnacentral:lncRNA from 1 species
CGGCAGUGACCCCGGCUCUGUCCCCAGGGGCCCUACAUCUUCCUGGUCUACGCCGCCUGCAACGGGGAGGUGAGUCGAGGUCGCGGGCGGGGCCCAGGCCGGGCAGAAAGGUCUCCCGCCUCACCUCGGCGCUGUUCCGAGGGUGACAAAGAAGAAAGCAGCGCUCCCGGGGACCAGCGGGGGACCCGACGCCCACGCCCGUACCUUCCAGACGCGCUCCCAGGACAGCCCCGCAGCCUGGGGUCCCCCAGGAAGAGAUGGGGCUCUCAGAGGUCUGGCCUUACCACCCUGCCGUGCCUCAGUUUCCCCAGUGCGCAGGCAGGGCCCGGAGGACAGUGACACACCUUGUCAGCUUGUUUGAAAGACAAGAAAUUGAGGCCUAGGAGACUGGAACCUUGAGAAAUGGCUUAGAAAUGAUUUGUUGAGCCAGUCGUGAUGGUACACACCUGUAAUCCCAGCAAUCAGGAGGCUGAGGCAGGAGGACCUCCGUGUAUUCGAGGCCAGCCUGGCCAUUGUAGUGAGUUCAAGGCCAGUCUAAACUACAUAUCCAGGACCUCUCUCAAAAAAAAAAAAAAAGCUUUUCCCCAACCCCCCAACUACCACCACCUGGAGGAAGCAGGAACUUCUGGUGCCCAGGCAAGGGUGGGGCUUGUGGGGUGACUUUCCCUCCAGUAACAGAGGGGGGAGGUUCCUGCAGACGGGUGAGUGUGUGGGUUAAAUGGUCCCAGUGCCAGUCCAGCCCCCAUCCGCUCCUGCACACCAUGCUGGGCCUGCUUCCUUUCGCUGAUCUGGGAUGGGGGAUUUGACCAGGAAGCCCCAGCAGGGUGAGAGCAGGGAGGGCUUCCUGUCUCCCAGCUCCACGUGCUUCCCCUGCCAGGCACCCCUUGCUCCAGGAUCCCCGAAGCCUUCUCCUCCAUCACAGAGCCCGAGAGACUGGUGAGGCUGGGCAUCAGGCAGGGUUGGGACGCGGCGGUAGCUGCAGGCCCUGGGGACCUGGACUCAGCUCCCGGGAGCUGCAGUGCAGGCUGCAGCACAGCCUGAAUGCCAAGGCCACCAGGUGGAGGGAGGCGCCAUCUCCAAGGUAGCCAAGGGCCCUGGUGCAGGGGAAGCCGAGCGGGGGCCCACCCUGUCCCUCUGUCCUCAGGCCGUGGAGCUGACAACAUUCAAGGCCUCAGGACCCAGAGGCCUGGCUAAGGAGCUCUUGGCAGUGACCUGGGAAACCUGCUGCCCUGCCCCAAAGCAGAAGCCAGGCCAACAUGCACAGGUAUCUAGCUCAGCCGGCCUGGGGACCUCAUCCCCGAAUCCCGACCUGGAUGUGAGGCGCAUCUGGCUGUCCCAAGUGAGGACAGCAGCCAGCACCAGCCGCUGCAGCCUCACCUGGGGGUGUGGCCCCGCCCCGGGGCUUCCCCCAUCCCCCAUCCCCCUCUCGUCUGCAGCUUGUCCCCCACCUUGCCCCAUGCUCUGCAGUGUCUGAUAAUAAACGGUGCAGUUGAGGCUCUGCGGUCUGUGUCUGGGGUCCUUCUAGCCUGGGAGGGGACAGAGACACCAGGCUCCCUGGGGUGUGUGGGUAGAAGCAGCCACUUUGGCUUUGGGACCCAGCCUGGUCACCAUGGUGGGUCCCUGGCACUGGUGUCCCCAAGCCCUUUAUCACCUUAGGGCUGGGAGUCAGCCAAGACCACCACUCCCCUCCGGUGCAGAAGAGGGGUACAGUUCCAUUCCUCAGACCUGGGGUCCCCCAAGCCACACAGCACAGGGGUGGCAGAGAAGGGAGCAGACAGCUCCCAAGUGACAGCAGAGGGCCAGGCCCAAACGCUGUGCGGCCACCAGUGAGAUUCUUCCCCGAGUCUCAGGGCCCUCCGGGUCAGCAAGUAGAGAGGCUCAGGAUGCCUCGGGCUCAGCACCGAGCUUAAUGCUGGCCUGGCCCAAGGCAGGGCCAGGCAGCAAGGAGCCUGGGGCCUCCAACUCUGGCAGAGCCCAGGGCCGAGGCUGGAGGUGGGGUGUGGAUGAGGCAGAGGAGGACUGUGUGAGAAGUACCGAGACCCUGAACCCCUCCUGGUGGGUCUGAGACGAAACCUAUCGGGAGGCUGAGUCCCCUGUCUUGCCCCAAACAAUUCUAAGGACUGCUGACAGGAUUCAGAGACACCCUUCUUUGUUCUGUACCCUUCCACUGCCCUCUUCACUCUCGAAACACUGCCCGCUGACCUCCUUCCAUCCCUUUGCUCUCACACUGUUCUUUCUGCCUGGACUACCCCAACCUCUCUUCAGCUGGUGAACUCCUAGGCAUCCUUCAAAACCCAAUUUUGGUGGCAGUUCAGCUAUAAAACCUUCCUGCCCUUUCUCCUGUCUCCCCAGGAAUAGAACUGAUCACUUCCUCAUUUUAUCUUGCUCAGUUCCAUCACACUGGAUUAUAAUCUGAUCAAGAGUCUCCACUUACAAGAUUGGACAGUGCCCUGGGGCAGGAACUAGGGUCCCUGCUUUGGUUCUGCAGGUGCCAAGGAGAGGGUCACCUUUUUCCUUCCAUAGUAGUCACUGCUACCUCUCCCCAGGGGAGAUGACUUCUCAUUUGCAUGGAAGUCCUGCGAGGACCAGGAGUGGCCCUGCAGUUGGUAAAGUGGAUCAGGACAAUGGAGUUGUGCAUGCUGGGUAGCUGUAUCCCUCAGCUGUGUGGCCUGGGAUGGGCCACUCACUCCUCAAUGCCUCAGUUUCCUCAUCUGCCAUCUGGGGCUGCCACCUCCAGAAGAGGUUU